rnacentral:rRNA from 1 species
UACGUAGGGUGCGAGCGUUGCCCGGAUUUAUUGGGCGUAAAGGGCGCGUAGGCGGUGAGAUGCGUCCGUUGUGAAAUCGCCCGGCUCAACUGGGGCGGGGUCAGCGGAUACGGUCUCACUUGAGCAAGCUAGGGGGCAAUGGAAUUCCCGGUGUAGUGGUGGAAUGCGUAGAUAUCGGGAGGAACACCAGUGGCGAAGGCGGUUGCCCUGGGGGCUUUGCUGACGCUGAGGCGCGAAAGCGUGGGGGAGCAAACAGG